AUACAAGCUUUAAAUAACAUUCCCAGGUAGCUCAGGGGCAGAGCAGGUGGCUGUAAAAUUGCAGCUUUCACGGGAAACCGUGAUUGAAAAAUCGGGUGAAUUCAGGGAAGCCUAAAGCUCCAGCAAUUAAUUAAGGAGCAUGGUAAUCCUGAGCGAAGUCCGCUGAAGGGUAAAAAGUAGGCGGAAACGUGCAGAGACUAAGAGGUGAGGAGCCCAAUCAAUAAACCUCAAAAGCGCCCAACACCCUAAUCCCGACAAACAUCAGGAUGGGUGAUGAGAUAGUCCAAGCCUUAUGGAAACAUAGGG
rfam:Deltaproteobacteria bacterium GWF2_42_12 gwf2_scaffold_2001, whole genome shotgun sequence.